GAUGAACGCUAGCUACAGGCUUAACACAUGCAAGUCGAGGGGAAACGACAUCGAAAGCUUGCUUUUGAUGGGCGUCGACCGGCGCACGGGUGAGUAACGCGUAUCCAACCUGCCCACCACUUGGGGAUAACCUUGCGAAAGUAAGACUAAUACCCAAUGAUAUCCCACGAAGGCAUCCGAAUGGGAUUAAAGAUUUAUCGGUGAUGGAUGGGGAUGCGUCUGAUUAGCUUGUUGGCGGGGUAACGGCCCACCAAGGCUACGAUCAGUAGGGGUUCUGAGAGGAAGGUCCCCCCACAUUGGAACUGAGACACGGUCCAAACUCCUACGGGAGGCAGCAGUGAGGAAUAUUGGUCAAUGGGCGAGAGCCUGAACCAGCCAAGUAGCGUGCAGGACGACGGCCCUAUGGGUUGUAAACUGCUUUAUAAGGGAAUAAAGUGGGUCUCGUGAGACUUUUUGCAUGUACCUUAUGAAUAAGGACCGGCUAAUUCCGUG
rnacentral:rRNA from 1 species